GGGACAGGAAGUGGGUCGCAUGACCGCAUUGAGCUCCCUGUCUCUUCGGCAGGUGUAGUCAGGGCUCAAGCUAUGAUUUUCGGAGUCUUGGGAGAAGAGAGCGGGAAGUAAACAUUUACUAAUCUCUGUUAAUAGACGACGACACGGGGAAUCUGUUUAUCUUGAUCACGACCAUCUCAGAGCCAGAGGACCAGGACGGAGGGAAGCAUGGCGCCCAGGUGCGAGCACUCAGACCAACAUGUCCUGCGCAAUAGUAGCCGAGGCAGAAAUGAAAGGAACGGACACGCCCCUCUCUGGUCAUCUGCUAUUGAAGGAAGCAGGGCUUGACAUCUUGCAGGGAUCACGGAUUAACUUCUCUUUGGCCUCUACUGCCUUCUGCAUACAUAUACAAGAGAAGUUACCCUUGCUUCACUGCUCACCUUGGGGGCUAUCAGUCUUUCACGCUAAGCUGUUGUUCAUUCCCAAGAGGAAGAAGACACCAUUGUCAUGCUGAGUAAGCUUCCCCAAAGACUCCCACAUCCUUGGAAAUUGUGAUUAAAAUAAUCUGUGUAGAAAAAAGAAUGAAGUUAGCAGGUACAGCUAAGGUUGACUUUAUGUUAAGAUUGUCCUGGCCCAAUGUAAUCAGAAGAGUCCCUGAAUGUGAAGAAAUAUAGCACCAGAUCCAAGAGAAAUACUGUGUUGCUAGCUUUGAUAAUAGAAGAAAGGGAUUAUGACCCAAAUAAUGUGGACAGUCUCCAGAAGCAACGAAAUAUUUUCUGUUUUAAACCUCUAAAUAGAACACAGUCCUGCUGACAGUUUUUGUCAGAGAAGGCCAGAAGUGACAGGCAUCUAAUCUACAGACCUGGGAGAUAAUAAACUCAUCUAAACUCACGAUAAACUCGGCGAGCUUCAUAAACUGUAGGUUGUAACCCCCUGUGGGGUUAUAUAACUGAGUGGUUAUGUGGGGAAAAACUGGCAACAGCAAAUGUUCCCUGAGUGUACAACAACCAAACUUUAACUCACAAUCGAAUGUGUAGUGGAUCCAGGGUGUUCCUGGUGGUACUUGUCCAUGUUGUAUAACACGCACAACUGUAGCGUUGGUUAUGAACACACCUGCGUGUGCCUUCACACCAUGCAGUGCCAACCUACGCCCUGAUUCAUCUCCGAGAUUGUCCUUAUAAUCUGUAGUGCUUUUAUGGUAUAUGCAAAGUUCUCUGCACACUGAUCCCCAUGAAAUUGGGGGUUUCUUUGGGAUCCUAGAUAAAGGUAUAGAGAGUGGAAACAGUGUUCUCAUCACUCUGACAAAAUGCCCAAGGAAACAACUUAAAAGAAGGUGCAUCUUCUCAGAGGUUUCAGCCCAAGGUUGGCGGUGCCCGCUGCUUUAGACCUGAGGCCAAAAGGAGUAUUAUAGCUAUAGGAACAUGUAGGAAGGACUGUUUACCUCUCCCUGAGAGAGAGGUGGGGGAGGAGGGAGGAGGAGGCAGAGAAAAGAAGAGGGGAAAUGAGAGCACGAGAAAGAGCGAGCAGGCAUGUAUGCCUGAGGACAGCUCUCACAGGCAUGGUCUUAGAUUCUUUUUAAAGAAUAUUUAUUUAUUUAUGCGCUGUAUUUAUU
rnacentral:sRNA from 1 species